rnacentral:rRNA from 1 species
UACGUAGGGUGCGAGCGUUAAUCGGAAUUACUGGGCGUAAAGCGUGCGCAGGCGGUUUUGUAAGCCAGAUGUGAAAUCCCCGGGCUUAACCUGGGAAUGGCAUUUGGGACUGCAAGGCUGGAGUGCGGCAGAGGAGACUGGAAUUCCUGGUGUAGCAGUGAAAUGCGUAGAUAUCAGGAGGAACACCGAUGGCGAAGGCAGGUCUCUGGGCUGACACUGACGCUCAUGCACGAAAGCGUGAGGAGCAAACAGG